GUGCCUGAAACGACAAGGGCUGCUUUGAUAAAGCAGACAUGGAAUCACCACACUCCCACUUCCUG
rnacentral:tRNA from 1 species